rnacentral:rRNA from 1 species
AACGAACGCUGGCGGCAGGCCUAACACAUGCAAGUCGAGCGCCCCGCAAGGGGAGCGGCGGACGGGUGAGUAACGCGUGGGAACGUACCCUUUGCUACGGAAUAGCCUCGGGAAACUGGGAGUAAUACCGUAUGUGCCCUUCGGGGGAAAGAUUUAUCGGCAAAGGAUCGGCCCGCGUUGGAUUAGGUAGUUGGUGGGGUAGUGGCCUACCAAGCCGACGAUCCAUAGCUGGUUUGAGAGGAUGAUCAGCCACACUGGGACUGAGACACGGCCCAGACUCCUACGGGAGGCAGCAGUGGGGAAUCUUAGACAAUGGGCGCAAGCCUGAUCUAGCCAUGCCGCGUGAGCGAUGAAGGCCUUAGGGUUGUAAAGCUCUUCAGUGGGGAAGAUAAUGACUGUACCCACAGAAGAAGCCCCGGCUAACUCCGUG